rnacentral:rRNA from 1 species
UCUGCAGGUCUUGAGUGUUGUUGAAGUAGCUGGAAUAAGUAGUGUAGCGUGAAAUGCAUAGAUAUUACUUAGAACACCAAUUGCGAAGGCAGGUUACUAAGCAACAACUGACGCUGAUGGACGAAAGCGUGGGGAGCGAACAGGAUUAGAUACCCUGGUAGUCCACGCCGUAAACGAUGCUAACUCGUUUUUGGAGCGCAAGCUUCAGAGACUAAGCGAAAGUGAUAAGUUAGCCACCUGGGGAGUACGAACGCAAGUUUGAAACUCAAAGGAAUUGACGGGGGCCCGCACAAGCGGUGGAUUAUGUGGUUUAAUUCGAUGAUACGCGAGGAACCUUACCAAGGCUUAAAUGGGAAAUGACAGGCUUAGAAAUAGGCUUUUCUUCGGACAUUUUUCAAGGUGCUGCAUGGUUGUCGUCAGCUCGUGCCGUGAGGUGUUAGGUUAAGUCCUGCAACGAGCGCAACCCCUGUCACUAGUUGCCAUCAUUAAGUUGGGGACUCUAGUGAGACUGCCUACGCAAGUAGAGAGGAAGGUGGGGAUGACGUCAAAUCAUCACGGCCCUUACGCCUUGGGCCACACACGUAAUACAAUGGCCGGUACAGAGGGCAGCUACACAGUGAUGUGAUGCAAAUCUCGAAAGCCGGUCUCAGUUCGGAUUGGAGUCUGCAACUCGACUCUAUGAAGCUGGAAUCGCUAGUAAUCGCGCAUCAGCCAUGGCGCGGUGAAUACGUUCCCGGGCCUUGUACACACCGCCCGUCAAGCCAUGGAAGUCUGGGGUACCUGAAGUCGGUGACCGUAACCAGGAGGUG